rnacentral:rRNA from 1 species
UACGUAGGGGGCAAGCGUUGUCCGGAAUCAUUGGGCGUAAAGCGCGUGUAGGCGGUCCGGUAAGUCCGCUGUGAAAGUCGGGGGCUCAACCCUGGAAUGCCGGUGGAUACUGUCGGGCUCGAAUCCGGAAGAGGUGAGUGGAAUUCCUGGUGUAGCGGUGAAAUGCGCAGAUAUCAGGAGGAACACCAAGGGCGAAGGCAGCUCACUGGGACGGUAUUGACGCUGAGACGCGAAAGCGUGGGGAGCAAACAGG